GUGGGUUUAGCUCAGUUGGUUAGAGCGCCGCUCUGUGGCAGCGGAGGCCGUGGGUUCAAGUCCCAUAAUCCACCCCA
rnacentral:tRNA from 3 species